rnacentral:rRNA from 1 species
UACGAAGGGAGCUAGCGUUGUUCGGAAUCACUGGGCGUAAAGCGCACGUAGGCGGAUGUGUCAGUCAGGGGUGAAAUCCCGGAGCUCAACUUCGGAACUGCCCUUGAUACAGCACGUCUUGAGUCCGGAAGAGGUGGGUGGAAUUCCUAGUGUAGAGGUGAAAUUCGUAGAUAUUAGGAAGAACACCGGUGGCGAAGACGGCCCACUGGUCCGGUACUGACGCUGAGGUGCGAAAGCGUGGGGAGCAAACAGG